rnacentral:rRNA from 1 species
UACGGAGGGUGCAAGCGUUAUCCGGAUUCACUGGGUUUAAAGGGUGCGUAGGCGGGUUGGUAAGUCAGUGGUGAAAUCCCCGAGCUUAACUUGGGAACUGCCAUUGAUACUAUCAGUCUUGAAUACCGUGGAGGUCGACGGAAUAUGUCAUGUAGCGGUGAAAUGCUUAGAUAUGACAUAGAACACCAAUUGCGAAGGCAGCUCGCUACACAUAUAUUGACUCUGAGGCACGAAAGCGUGGGGAUCAAACAGG